AUAUUAUGAAUGUUUUAUACAAUACAUUUUUUUUAAAUAUUUUUUUGUAUAAAAGAUUACAGUAUCAUGAUUAUUAGCUGUUAUUUUAUAAAGCUUUUAAGAUAUAGUGCAAUGGGAAUUUUUAAGCAUUUUGGUUGGUGAUGGUUAAAAAUUGAAAAAAAACAGGGUUGCUGAAACAUGGGUUUGUUAUAUGGGGUUCAAAAAUGUUAAAAGGUUGUUUCUAAACUAUAUAUACAAGUCUUCCAAGAUGCUUUUCUAAAUAAAAUGGUGUUGGUUUAAAAAUAGUUAUAAAGGGUAAUAUUAGUCAGUUAAAAGUGGUGUUAUGUAUAUGGAAAUGUUGUAUAAAUGGUAUUUAUAAAGUUUUAUGAGCUCCCUAAAAUUUUAAUUACGAUUCAUUCAAACUAUUGUGCAACUUCUAUUUAGUUUUUUCAGGAGAAUCACUUUUUGGGUUUCCCUUGGCAAGUCAUGAGGGGGGUAGGACAUUAAUCGAGACACCGGGAUCGGUAUUUUUAAGCCCGAAAUUUUAGGAUUGAUCCUUUUGGGAUCUGGGAAUUCUUUUUUUCGAAUUUCAGGAUGUCGGGAUUUAAAUUUCUUUAAAUUUGGUCUGAUUUCAUGUUUUUAAGCCCAGGAUUUCGGGAUCAUGACCCAUCCUACCCCCAUCCCCCUCCUCUGUCAUGGUCUUUGCAAGAGACUAGGGAAAUCUUUUUGUGAUCUCUGACAGUAACUUUAGUUUUAGAAUCUAGAUAACCAUGAAUUGGAACUGUAUUCAAAGCAGUUCUUAAGUGCCUUCUAAUUUAUGCAAUUUUUAUUUAAUUAUUUAUAAAUCUUUUAAUAAACACCAAGCUAAAAAUAAAUCGUUUAUUUUACACUGUGAAACUAAAAUGACAGAGUUCACUAUGCAAAAUUAUACUUUUCCAAUUAGACAAGUGAGACAAAACUCUCUCAAAAGGAAAAAAUAUUCUGUGUAGUUUUGGCAAUUUACCAGUCUUUUGAAGAAAAAAAGCUAGUUUCCAGAAUGAGACAAGUAUAUACUAGAGCUCAGCAGCUUUCACGGUUGUUGCCGUCUGCUCAGGAAGUAGAAAUGAAUUGUGAAAAAAAGGAAAAACUAUUUUUAACUUUUGAAACAGCUG
rnacentral:lncRNA from 1 species